rnacentral:piRNA from 1 species
UCUGAGAUAAAAUAGUCUUUUAAUUGGA